AUUAAGGGAUAUGGGUAAGUAUAUGAAAUUAGGCCACAGAUCAAUCAUGAUCUUAUUAAAUGGUAGAACAGGCUUGAAGGGCUGAAUGGCCCCCUCCUCUUCCUAUAUUCCUGAAUGUAGGGAAGGUGAUGAAGUUUUGCAGAUAUGCAAAUGUUGGUCAUGUGAUUGAUUAAUACAGGAAAAAACACCUAUAGGCUUCCAUAAAUAUACUAAUGGACAGGUCAGAAGGGAGUAAAGUAAUAAAUGGAAUUUAGUUUAGAGUUGUGUCGGGGGAAUAUAUUUUGGAAGAGCAUACCAUGCAUUGAAGACAAAUUGUAGAUGGAGCAGUAGAUUAGGUGGUCAGGAAGGCAUACUUUUUUUUAAUUAGCCAUGAUGUAGAAAAGUUAAGAGCAGGAGGGUCAUUUCCAUAAUUCAGACUAGGGCUUGAAACAAUGUUGGUAGAUAAAGAUGUGUGGGAACAUCUGGAAUCUCAAUACUGUUGGGCUUAAUAAGGAAUGCUGGGAAAUGAGGAACAUAAAGGUUUAAGGCAAGAUUAGAGUGGGGUGGCUUUAAUUACUAGGCUGUCAGUCUUUACUUGUCUUGCCGGACUCUGCCAAGCACAACCAGCAUUGCCUUCCCUCCUUGUGCAAAAUCAUGAAUGUGUAAUUGAAAUGAUAAAUGAAUAUGACCACUCACAAAAUGGGUGAAAUAACUCUCUUUUCUUCCUUUUUGAGCAUGUGGAGUCUAUGAGCAAUUUAAGGCCUUUCAAGGACAAUUGCAUUAAUCAGGCACUUGCACAACACUGUUGAAGACAUUUAUAAUCAUAGUAUCCUGGUACUCGUUGUCCAAAUUGUGGGUUACAAAUCCUGGUUUAAGCAAUCUUGAGCAUGUCAUUGGUCACUACAGAUUGAAGCUAGUCAUCUCUGUGAAGCAAUCACAGGUGACCUUAAAAGUCUCAAUUGCAGGCCAUAUGCAAAAAGAUAGUCCAUGAUUUUAUAGGCUGUACAAGGGCAUUGUUUUCUUCUUACCUUGAAUUGUGAAUUCCUUUAUCACUGUUGAACUUUUGAAUUGAAGAUGGUCAAAUUGGAUGAUGAAAGAAGAAGAGGAUGAGAACGAUGAGAGCACCAUCAACAAAUAUACAGGGAAAUGGCUACAGAACGUGGAAUGAGAUCUGAAUUGUCACCUUGUUGUCCUCUUCCAGCACUGGACUCCCUCACCCCCCCAAUGAUCCGAAAAAAGUUUUAACAAUCUUAGAUUAUUACUUUUUCCACUCUCUGACUGUUUUGAAGUGCUCCAGUGAAAUUUAUGACAGAUAGUUAACAGGCAAUCUGACAACAAACACAAAGCACUGCUUAGAUUUGAGAAAUAACAUGAAAAUGUAUUUAAAUUUAUUGCACAACAUGUUUAUUCCACUAAAACAUCCAAGCCCAAAUCAAAACUGAUGUGCAAUAAAAACUGAUGUAGUGUAUUACGAUCCUGUUGGUAUAAUGAUAUUAUUGAAUCCCUAGCACAGUCAUAAGAUGUUACUGGAGUCAGAUCAUUACAAUGCCUUUUUUGAUGGUUCUGGCAAAAGGUGUGAGAUUGAAUGGCUAAAUUGGAGGGGAACUAAUUAUGAGUUAGCCCCUUUCUAGUAACAAUUGGUGCUGAGCAUCACAGCUCAAAGAUCUGCAGGAGAGGAGUCCACACGUGCUAGUGAAUGUCAUCCUUAUUUUUUCCUAGGUACAGCAGAUCCAAAUUUAUUUCAUUGACUACCUCCACCAAAGCAACUAGUAUUAGAAGUUUAGCACUUGGCAUCUUUUACAUAUCUCCAAUGAUUAAUUAUUUGAAGGAAUAAUGAUGCCACUUCAUCAUACCAUCUCUGUUGCCCCCUUCAGCUAGUGAAGCAACCACUGCAAAACUGGUUACCUCAAUUUUAAAAUUUUGCAGCCAGAAACUUGAAGACCAAAUUCUCUGCACAUGCCUUCAUAAAUAAGGAGGUCAUAACUUUACAGAAUGGUCAGCCCUCCUUGGUAGCAGUGUGUGUUUUGCCACACUUGUGACACUGGGACCCAUACCAAUAGAAAUAGUGCUAAAAGACAAUACUUGCAGUUACUAAUGAACUGGGCUUUAUUUCCAAAUCUUUCUUUCCAAUGCCAUUGUAGCAUCCCUGGUGAAAAAGAACUGCAGUAACAUCUUAACUACUUCCCUCACAACAAAUAAAAAAAGGCCAAAAUCUUAUUAGUUUAGAAUUUGUGAACCAUAAACUGUAAUCAAAACAGUCAGAAGAGCAGCAAUUGGGAUUGGAAUUGGAAUGUGGUUAUCAUUAAACUAACACACUGACUUCUAAUCUAAAAAACAAUAAUCAGGUCACGCUACAAAACUUUCAGAUCCAAGCAUUAUUCAGCACAGUCCAGAUUUGCUAUUGCCACCCUUCAUACCACUGCAUUGAGGGCAUCACGAAGGGUUCUCAUUACAUUAAAAUUUAUCACAUGGAAAAGUCUCACUACACCACAGUAAAAAUCAGCACAAAAAAUUACAUUAAGAAUUACAUGGUAGCAUUAGCCAUCACCAUACUGGUGUUUACAGCACAGGUGAAGUACAUAUUUAAAAGCAACUGAGUCCAGCUCAGGGUUUAGGGGAGUGGGACGCUAUGGAAGUCAAUGUUAAGACUUUGUGGACAAGACAAUGAAUUACUUCAAUAGGAUGUGCCUCCAUUAGAUACCAUGGAGGAAGUUCAAAAACAAAUGAAAGCUGCAAUUAAAAGAUGCUGACAUACGAAGAUACUGUGUACUGCAGAAAUGGAAAGAACAUAUUGUAAUCUUCUAAUUGAGGACACCCAAACAAUGGAAGUCCACUUUAUCCCCACUGCAAGCCAUGCCGUUGAUCAGAUCUUUUGUAUUUUGUUUUGGAUGGUGGGGGUUCAGUCACUGACAUACUCACAUUAAAAAGUAACCAACAUUGUACAGGCAAACUCUCCAAAAUGAUACUAAACUGGCGCAACAAACAAGUUUUUAAAUUCUUUUUUCCAGUUCAGCUGUGCUUAACCACAAAAAAGUGAACCAUCAUUAAUCUCAACCACCUUUGAAUAAGGAAGAAUGUUUGAUUCAAAAGCAGCUUAAGGGGCUGAAAUUCCUUCAGUGUUAUCUUUAACAUUCUGGUCAUA